rnacentral:rRNA from 1 species
AGAAAAAAUAAAAAUAAAGUGAACUGAAACAUCUAAGUAACUUUAGAAAAAAAUCAAACGAGAUGCCGUUUGUAGUGGCGAACGACUGCGGUAUUUGGGAAUUCUUCAAACUAUUAUUCGAAACAACCAAAGAAGGUUAUAGUCCUGUAGAAAAAAAACAGUUGGGAGAAAAAAGUAAGGCAGGGUUUACUGUCAGAAUUUUGGGCUACCACGCUCAACCCUAAAAAUUUUUGAUGACCGAUAGAAAAAAAGUACCGUAAGGGAAAGGUGAAAAAAGCUCUUUAUAGGGGUGAAAAGAUUUGAAACUUGUUGUUAACAAUCUGUUGAAGUCUUUAGACGACAGCGUACCUUUUGCAUAAUGGGCCAGUGAGUUUAUUUAAAUGGCAAGUUUAAUCCGUUAGGAGUAGACGCAGUUAAAUCGAAUAUUAAUUAUAUGCCGAGUCAUUUGUAUAAGACCCGAAACUAAGUGAUCUAAUCAUGAGCAGGUUGAAUAUAUUGUAGUAAUACGUAUUGGAGGACCGAACCCGUGUAUGUGGAAAAAUACUGGGAUGACUUGUGAUUAGGGGUGAAAGGCCAAUCAAACUCGGAUAUAGCUGGUUCUCCGCGAAAACUAUUUAGGUAGUGCGUCGUGUGAUUACCGCCGGGGGUAGAGCACUGGAUGGGCUAGGGGGGCGCGAGCCUUACCAAACCUAACCAAACUCCGAAUACCGGUGAGUACAGCACGGCAGACAGACCAUGGGUGCUAAGGUCCGUGGUCGAGAGGGAAACAGCCCAGACCUCCAGCUAAGGUCCCCAAGUUACGGCUAAGUGGGAAAGGAUGUGAGGAGGCCAAGACAGCCAGGAGGUUGGCUUAGAAGCAGCCAUCCUUUAAAGAAAGCGUAAUAGCUCACUGGUCUAAACAAGCCGGCCUGCGCCGAAGAUGUACCGGGGCUCAAGCCACCCACCGAAGCUGAGGAUG